rnacentral:rRNA from 1 species
UACGUAGGUGGCAAGCGUUGUCCGGAUUUACUGGGCGUAAAGGGCGCGUAGGCGGCCAUCUAAGUCAGACGUGAAAUCCCCCGGCUUAACCUGGGAACUGCGUCUGAUACUGGACGGCUUGAGUAUGGGAGAGGGAUGUAGAAUUCCAGGUGUAGCGGUGAAAUGCGUAGAUAUCUGGAGGAAUACCGGUGGCGAAGGCGGCAUCCUGGACCAUUACUGACGCUGAGGCGCGAAAGCUAGGGGAGCAAACGGG